AGCCUUGCCGUGGAGCAGCCGAUGAAACCCACAAAGGAGUCCGAGACUCUAUUUAUACUCAACCUUGUUCCUCUGUCUUCCCAAUACUCUUCAACCUCUCUCUCUCCUCCCUCCUCUACUACUUUUCCAGCUGGUCUUCCUUCAGAAUCUUCUCCUCCUCCACCUCCACUGCCAUGCUCUAAGUUAUUGAGACAGAGGAAGAAAGAACAAAAACCUCAGUCUGUUCAGCAGCACCUUCUGCCACCUCUGUCUCUCCUCCGUCUCUUAUCCCCACAGAUCUCUCCUUUCCACAGUCUUGUCCUCCACCUGCUGCCUCUUCCAUCUCCCAGUCCUUGAGGCAGGAGGGGCCAUGUGUGAAGAAGAGAAGAAAGGGUUGCCGAAAAUGUAGUAGGCAGAAGAUCUUCCUGUUUGAUAAAAUAGUUGGGGAAAGAAUAAAUGAGGGAAAAGCAGAACUGAAAGUCCACUGGUUGCCUUGUACUGUGUGUGGCAAAACUUGGGAUGACACAUGGGAGUCUACAAAUCCCAACCAGCUUUCACCAUGACAGUCUACUGACCAUGAAUACCUGGACUUGUUAAGCACUCUUCAAUUCGGAGUGUUUUGUUGUUGUUCUUUUGCUUGCUGUUCUUCAUUAAAGUUUGUGCACAGUGCAUAUACUGUUUUAGUAUGUUUUUUUUUUUAAGUAUCAUUUUAAACACCUUUUACAUUUGUCAGGAACUGCAUAACAGUCCUAUGGAUAGGACAUGCUACAGUCAUGCUUUUCAUUAUAAUGGCAUUCCCAAAGACAUUACUUGUAUAAUAGAUAUUAAAAUAUAAUAAAUAUAUGAAAUAUUUUUUUUACAGUGCAACCUUAAUAUAGCAUAGAUGCAAAAUAGGUCACUUAGAUUUGCUUAGAUCUUAUGAGAAAGUGUACAUAAGGUAAAUAAAGAAUUGGGACCAGUUGCAGAAAAGCUAGUUUAAUUGUACCUUAAUUGUAUUGGAAAACUAAGACUAAUAACUGUAUAGUAUUUUCUUUACUUGUUUACCAAACUGUCUAAAAAGGAUAAUAUUUGAGGUCUGAGAUAUGGGAACGGUGAAGAGAGAGGGCAAACAUUUAGCAUUUUAGCUCUUAUCAGCCAAUAUUGUCUUAACCUUCAUAGCACUUCAUCUUUUAUAAGAUAGGCUUUUGACUAAAUACAUAAUGUUUAUAAAAUUGUCCAAAUUUGUUUUUUUUAGUUUUUGUGUUUGUAAAAUUACAGUUUUUGACAUUUUAGGUAAUACAAAUAAUUGUACAAAUACCUGUAAGUAACUUACAAUUAGCAUGUAAAACAAAAAUCUUCUGUCAAAUAAUCUUCAUGUAAAACAAAUAAUUCUGUUUGGAGCAUGUCCUCGGUUCUCACCUUUUUACCCUCCUACCUGUUUGCAUCUCUGUAUAGAUAAGUUUAUAUGAAC